rnacentral:snRNA from 1 species
GUGCUUACUUCAGCAGCACAUAUAAUAAAAUUGGAACAAUACAGAGAAGAUUAUCAUGGCCCCUGUGCAAAGAAUGACACACAAAUUCAUGAAGCUUUCCAAAAAAAA